AUACUUAACUGGCAGGGGAGACACCAUGAUCAAUAAGGGGAAUUUUCCAGACCAAGGCUUAUCCCUUGCACUUCCUAUGUGCUAAUACCUAUGAUUUCCUCAAACAUGGGAAACUCGACUUUAUAAUUUGUGGUAGUGGGGGACUGCAUUUGCACUCACCCCUA